AGUGAACGCUGGCGGUAGGCCUAACACAUGCAAGUCGAACGGCAGCACAGUAAGAGCUUGCUCUUACGGGUGGCGAGUGGCGGACGGGUGAGGAAUACAUCGGAAUCUACUUUUUCGUGGGGGAUAGCGUUGGGAAACUUACGCUAAUACCGCAUACGACCUACGGGUGAAAGCAGGGGAUCUUCGGACCUUGCGCGAUUGAAUGAGCCGAUGUCGGAUUAGCUAGUUGGCGGGGUAAAGGCCCACCAAGGCGACGAUCCGUAGCUGGUCUGAGAGGAUGAUCAGCCACACUGGAACUGAGACACGGUCCAGACUCCUACGGGAGGCAGCAGUGGGGAAUAUUGGACAAAGGGCGCAAGCCUGAUCCAGCCAUACCGCGUGGGUGAAGAAGGCCUUCGGGUUGUAAAGCCCUUUUGUUGGGAAAGAAAAGCAGCAGGUUAAUACCCCGCUGUUCUGACGGUACCCAAAGAAUAAGCACCGGCUAACUUCGUG
rnacentral:rRNA from 1 species